CGGUAAUACGUAGGUGGCAAGCGUUGUCCGGAAUUAUUGGGCGUAAAGGGCUCGCAGGCGGUUUCUUAAGUCUGAUGUGAAAGCCCCCGGCUCAACCGGGGAGGGUCAUUGGAAACUGGGAAACUUGAGUGCAGAAGAGGAGAGUGGAAUUCCACGUGUAGCGGUGAAAUGCGUAGAGAUGUGGAGGAACACCAGUGGCGAAGGCGACUCUCUGGUCUGUAACUGACGCUGAGGAGCGAAAGCGUGGGGAGCGAACAGGAUUAGAUACCCUGGUAGUCCACGCCGUAAACGAUGAGUGCUAAGUGUUAGGGGGUUUCCGCCCCUUAGUGCUGCAGCUAACGCAUUAAGCACUCCGCCUGGGGAGUACGGUCGCAAGACUGAAACUCAAAGGAAUUGACGGGGGCCCGCACAAGCGGUGGAGCAUGUGGUUUAAUUCGAAGCAACGCGAAGAACCUUACCAGGUCUUGACAUCCUCUGACAACCCUAGAGAUAGGGCUUUCCCUUCGGGGACAGAGUGACAGGUGGUGCAUGGUUGUCGUCAGCUCGUGUCGUGAGAUGUUGGGUUAAGUCCCGCAACG
rnacentral:rRNA from 1 species